UGCUCGGCUCCGGCUUCUGCUGCAGACAAGCCUCCAGCGCCGCCGCGGCUCAGCCCAGCCGCGCGGCCCCGCCCCACCGCGCCGCGCCGCGCCGCCGCCCCCGCUCCAGUCUCUUCCCCGAGCGCCCCUGCCCCGCUGCCGCCUCCUCUGAGGGAGGGCCGCGCUUCUCCCUGCCAGGCCUCAGGGCGGCUGCUUUGCUUCGCUUUGCCGAGGUUCCUCUCGGCCAGCCUGCUUGCAGACGGGCAGCUUUAAGCUUAAAAGCCAGGCUGAGGGGAACAAACCAGGCUGGCCUCAGCAUCAAGAUCUUAAAAGACAGAGAGACAGAAAGGCCGCCUUGGCCUUAGCACCAAAGUUUUAAAAGAUGGAGAGUCAGAAAGGCCGCUGGGCCUCGGGACUGAAGUCUUAAAGGACCGACAGGAAGGCUGCCUGGUCUUGGGACUGAAAUCUUGAAAGACUGGAGUCGUAAAAGACCGAGACACGGAAAGGCCAGCUGGCCCUGGGACUGAAAUCCUAAAAGACAGACGGGCAAGCCGGCUAGCCCUAGGACUGAAAUCUUGAAAAACUGGAGCCUUAAAAAACAGAGACAGAAAGGCUGGUUGGCCUCAGGAUCUGAACAGCCAAACAAGGAAGAAAGGCCAUUUAUUUUAUUUCUUUUUUUAACUUAGAAGGCCCAAACCUGCAGUUGAAUGCAGCUGGCGCUACAUUGUAUCCCCCCGAAGCAGAAGUGACCAAAAUGACCACAUUCAGGGGCUACCCCGGCCAUGAGCAGCCCCAUGUUGCCAGGAGGCUGUCCAUUUGGAUGCUGUUUAUGGGCAUACCCAGGACCCACUGUAAGGUCAAGAAAUGCUGGCAUAAAGAAUGUCUACGCUGCAGUGACUGCAACUCAAUCAUAGCCAAGCUAGCUCAGGUUUUAUAACAGUAUAGCUAUGGUCGCACAGAGUUCAGGCCACACUGCAAAAACACUCCAGAGUAAAUUAAAUACUAGGGCAAUUAACCUGCUGCUGAGCAGACUGUCGUCAAUAUCCAAACUAACUCAAGCAAGUCUUCAAAAGCUGCUAUCAGUGCAAUGUAGAAGUCUCCUGGUUUGUGCAUCUUGCUCCCAUGCUUAGAGUUAUAUUGAUCACCAGAUUUAGCAUUGGGAAGGAAAUUUUCCCUCAGGUCAGAUUGGCAGGGACCUUCUGCAGACUUUUUCUGCUGGGAUUCACAUAGGCAUCUCUCACCUAAUCAAUUCUCUGACUUGGCAAGGCAGGGGGGGCACUCAGUCAUUGGUUACACUUUAGUGUCUCGUUUUUUACUUGAGACGCACAAUUUACUUUCCCUGAGGUCCAGAACACUUUGGUUAAACUGAAGUGACAUAUCAACAUAAGAGUACCCAGGUAAAAUUAAUGGUUUGUGAUAUGCAGGUCAGAUUAAAUCUAAUGGUUCCUUUCUGGCCUAAAAUAUGAAAUAUCCUUGGUCACCAAAUAUAAAAGCAAUCAAUUAGAACAAGUUGUCGUAAUAUGAAUUAACACAGCCAUUCUUAUUCAACCAUGAAAUCUUUUAAAUGACACAAAAAGGACAGUCAUUAGAAGGCACUGUGAAGCCAAACAUUCAGUACUGUCAAGCCAAAGCAAAGCCAAACCCUGCCCCCCCAAAAAACCAAAACCACCAAUCUCCCACUCCUAGGGUUUCUUUUAAUUUGCUUUGAGACUUUUAAGUCACUCUUACCUUCAGACUCUUAAGCAUUUAAUCACAAUUUCAAGUGUUUGUCUGCUACCAUGAAGAUAUAAGGAAACUUAGCUUAUAUUUAACAAAAAAAGGAAGGAGGGAAAUGGGCAGUGUUUCCUGUGCUUAAGGGUUUUAGAGGCCUACUCUAGAAGAGAUUUACUGCUAUUCCAGCACCCUCCUAAUACAGACACAGUUUACACCAACAAAUAAUGUUUUUGCCAGUAUGCCUUACAUGGGUUUAACAAGCAAUUUAACCUAUGUCAGAAAGAUAGAAAUCCGCAUGAUAUCAACACUGUUGAUGCUUUUGGCUUUUUCAAACAGAAAUCUUACCAAAAAACCAAUACACCUAUCUGACCUGGCCUAAGAAAACCAUGAACAAAGGAAGUGCAAGUAGCACUGAACAAAUGGCCUGUCAUUUUGUUUUUUAUUUGUGAGAAAAUAGUUUCCCAAGCAUUGUGGGCUUCCAGAAUUUGGUCAGUUUUGUCCAGUGUCUGGAUAUUAAAAUAUGCAAGAUUCAUGGUGUCUCUUGUUUCAGUUCUUCUUACUCACAGACAAACCAAAUAAAAUGAGAAAAAAGCA